rnacentral:piRNA from 1 species
UUGGCAGGCUCCCAUAGGUGAAUCACAGU